UUUCUCCUCGCUCAAAAAAUGGAUCUCCAAGGGAACAAUAUCUCGGUGAUAUUCAAGACCGACUUCGAGGACAUGGCUACGCUUCACGUUCUGUGAGUAA